rnacentral:rRNA from 1 species
UGGGACGCGGUGUAGCAAUACACUGAGUCGCGAACGGCUGAGUAACACGUAAGAACUUACCUUUUGGUGGUGAAUACCUCGUCGAAAGACGAGCUAAUACAGCAUAAGAUCUCCGGAUGAAAGGGCUUUACCGCCCGCCGAAAGAGAGGCUUGCGGUCUAUCAGAUAGUUGGUGGGGUAAUGGCCUACCAAGUCGACGACGGAUAGGGGACGUGAGAGCGUGACCCCUCAGAACGGGACUGAGACACGGCCCGUACACCUACGGGUGGCAGCAACUGGGAAUCGUGCGCAAUGGACGAAAGUCUGACGCCGCGACGCCGCGUGAGGGAUGAAGGCAUUCGUGUCGUAAACCUCUUUUGCCAAGGUCGAGAAGCCUUGGAGAAUAAGCACCGGCUAACUCUGUGCCAGCAGCAGCGGUAAUACAGAGGGUGCAAGCGUUGUCCGGAUUUAUUGGGCGUAAAGAGUUCGUAGGCUUUUUGUUAAGUCAUCUUUCAAAGACCGAGGCUCAACUUCGGGAAGGGGGAUGAUACUGGCAGAAUUGAAAGGUUUCGGGGUUACUGGAACUGUCGGUGUAGGAGUGAAAUCCGUUGAUAUCGACAGGAACACCAAGGGCGAAGGCGGGUAACUAGGAACACUUUGACGCUGAGGGACGAAAGCUAGGGGAGCGAAAGGGAUUAGAGACCCCUGUAGUCCUAGCCGUAAACUAUGUUCGCUAGGGAUGGGAACUUCGGUUUCCGUUCCGUAAGCUAACGCGUGAAGCGAACCGCCUG